rnacentral:rRNA from 1 species
UACGUAGGGUCCGAGCGUUGUCCGGAUUCAUUGGGCGUAAAGAGCUCGUAGGCGGCUCAGUAAGUCGGGUGUGAAACCCUCAGGCUCAACCUGGGGACGCCACUCGAUACUGCUGUGGCUAGAGUCCAGUAGGGGAGUGUGGAAUUCCCGGUGUAGCGGUGAAAUGCGCAGAUAUCGGGAGGAACACCAGCGGCGAAGGCGGUUCUCUGGGCCUGUACUGACGCUGAGGAGCGAAAGCGUGGGGAGCGAACAGG